CGGGGAGAUGUUGCUGUUGGUGAGACGCUAUCUCACAGGGACCUAGCAGACACGACUAAGGAGACAUUAGCCGUUACACGUAUUCGGGAGAUCCGCGACCUACCACCGAAAGCCCCUUUGCCUAGGCGUAAACGUGUGAAUCUGAGGUACUGUUACCGAUAAACAACAGAGACUUAUUGUAACACAGCAAAGGCGUAACCCGGGAUGCUCAGAUUGGCAUUUGCGUCGUUACAUUGCCCCCCACUUAGCAAUGGACGUCCUCGGCCAUUAUUUCGAGCACAGGAGCCAUCCCACCUCGCGCCAGUGCGCUGGUUUAUCCAUUACACCAUGAAAUCGCCAAUUUGCGACUUGCUGGUUGCCAGAAUCGAACCGCCGACCCGAAGUUUGUUACGGAAGUCGUGCAGUCCCGUCUCGAUACCAUUGUAACACAGCAAAGGCGUAACCCGGGAUGCUCAGAUUGGCAUUUGCGUCGUUACACUUAUAAAGGCUUGGAAAGCCUAUCCCAAAGGACGAGAGCUAUCAGUACGCUAGAACCUAACAGCCGUUUUGACGGGCCUCCCGAGACAGGUCCAAAGCUGUCACUCAGUCUAACAUGCGACCUCAGACAGGCCACAGCUGUCACUCACGACAGCCUGACAAGUUACCCAAACAGGCCACAGGGCGACACGGCAACCCUUCGCAUCAACACGCCCCCUCGUGUCGCACUAGGGGCCUUACUACAAAUUGCUAGCACCGACGAGCUAGCUCGGCCACCAAGUCCGCGGUCCAGGCCGACUGCUCACCACUCAACAAACACAAACGCAGCUCGCCAGCCUUCAGCCUGAUGGCUAUGCGGUCUGGUGCUGCUGCACAAACACACAGAGAAAACAGUGCCGUACAGCACCAUACGCACUGCCUACGGCGCCCCUUCGGGCAUUAACCUGCCCAUUCGGGCGCCUGCUCACGCACCCUCAGCACCCCCCUAAAGCCUAGCUCAAAACAAUUCCUCAAAGCCCUCAGCACUCCUCCUCUGGCGGUCUAAGUGACGCCCAGCGCUGUGCGGCAGCGCACGAACUUGACCUCGCCCAGUGCCUUGGUUAGGAUGUCAGCCACCAUUUCGUCGGUGGUGCAAUAGCUGAGCUUCACCUCACCACGCGCGACCCUCUCGCGCACGAUGUGGUGGUGCACGUCGAUGUGCUUGGAGCGCACUGACGUGCUUGGAGCGCACUGACGUGAUGGGGUUGUUGCCGAGGCUGAGCGUGUUUAUCCAAAAUCACACACUGCGAAGCAACCGGUGAUGGCUGCUUUGGCGGCCGUGACCAAUUGCAAGUUGUCCGCCGCCACCAGCAUGUCGUCAACGUGCACAAGCACAUAAAUUGAGCCGUCGGACCCGCGCUUCACGAAUAGCGCGGGGUCGGACAUAGACGGUCCAUAGCCCAGCUUGCCCAACACCGCCGCCAGUUUCUCGUACCAGCAGCGUGGGGCUUGCUUGAUGUCGUAGACGGACUUUGACAUCCGCCACGUUUUGACGUCCAUCUGAUGGACCGUCAUACCCCUGGCCGCUGCCACAGCCAGAAGUGCCCGCAGGGAGGUUGCACUGUUGCCUCCGCCGUUAGUACUGCUGUCAGGCACGCUAAAGUCAGCGCGAUCUGUGCUACUCGACGCUUUACUAAGCAGCGGUAGUCCACCCAAAUCUCCGCCGCCGCCGCUACUGUUGUCAGCCGCACUGAUUGGGGCCAGCGGCGGGUGCAGCGGUUGCCGUUGACUGCAAGUGUUAGGGCGGAGAGCGGACGCUGGGUUGACUGGGGUCGAUGCAACCACUGGAGGCGGCGGUGUGGCGGGCUGUGUAGAGCCGCCGACGGGUCGCCGCUGCCAGGACGGGCGGGGCCAGCGCCGAAGGAGGUGCCCGCCCGUUGAGACGCCAGGCCGCGGAGGUCGUCAUCGAAGGUGACGUCGCUGCUAACAGUCACCUUACCGUCGACGAGGACGCGGUGGGCGGCCGUGCCGCGCUCCGGUCCAAGGUAGGUUCCCCCCUCUGCGCGGGGACCGAGCUUAACCUGCUGGCUGGUUGGGGCGCGGACGUAUGCCAGGCAGCCGAAGGUGUGCAGGUGACUGACGUCGGGGGUGACGCCAUGAUAAGUUGCCCACGGCGUGGCCUCCCGGCCCUGAGAGGGGGAAACAUUGCGCAGGAGGUUGGCGUAUAGCACAGCUUCCGACCAAAAGCUGUCCGGGAGCGCGGCAUCGUACAGCAUAGCCCGCACCCGGUCGAGGAGCGUGCGAUUGAGCCGCUCCGCUGCGCCGUUCUGCUCCGGAGUGUACGGCGCCGAGUGGGUAUGCGCAGUGCCGCGUUGGCGUAGCCACUGUGCCAGCUGCUCGGCGACAAACUCGCCACCGUUAUCACUAUGAAGGGUGCGGACCCGUGCACCGUUCGGGUUGCGAGCCUCCAGCUGCGUCACCAUGUCCUGCAGCGCUUCGCCCACUUGGUUCUUGCUAACCAGUGUGCGAACGGCAGACAGACCGGAGGCACCAUCCAGCAGCGUUAGCAAGUAGCGAGCCCCUCCUCGGCCCGUGGUCGGCAUGGGCCCGCACAGGUCAGAAUGUACGACCUCCAGGACAUGCUGAGGCCGGUUACCGCGGCUGACGUGGGCUGUAGCUGUAGUCUUCGCUGUGACACAGGCUUCGCAGACACCCUCUGCCGCCUGACGCAGCGCCGCGGGAGUGACCCGUGGUCCAUGUACCAGCUGCUUGGUGAUAAGCUGCUCCAACGCCCGGUAACCAAGGUGGCCGAACUGGCGGUGCAGGCGCUGCGCUGCUGCGAGUUCGGCGGCUGAGCACUCAAGGGCGCCCAGCUGCCCUUGGCCGUUGCUGGCGCCGUUCGACUGGUCUCCGCCGGUGUCACUGCUGUCGGCGCCGUUCGGCUGGUCCCCGCCGGCGUCACUGCUGCUGGCGCCGUUCGGCUGGUCCCCGCCGGCGCUGCUGCUGCUGGCGCCGUUCGGCUGGUCCCCGCCGGCGCUGUCUUCCACAGCGCCGAGCGCACUGACGGCGCGUUUGGUCGGCGCCAGCAGGUCCACGUCCAUGACGUAAUGCCCACGCUCACUCCACGCGGUGAUAGACGAACCGCCAUGCGGCAGACCUACUCGCGAAAACCGGCGGCCCGCCUUGUCCGUGCCGAACGUGACUGAGCAGCCGCGCGUCACGAGAAGGUCGACGGACAUGAGCGUCAGUCCUGAGCUGGGGACAUGGAGCACGUUGCGUAGCAAGACGGUUUCUCCAUCGCGUGUCCGUAGGAGUAGCUGCCCUGUUCCCAUGACGUCGGCUAGCUGAUUGUUCCCCCACUUAAUUUGCUUGGGCGAGCCGGCAGGAACGUAACUGUGCAACAGUGAGCGGUCACCAGUAAGGUGGUAAGGUGAACCAGAGUCUAGGACUACUGUUGAACUGUUGCCACUGCCACCGACGACCAGCACCGUGGCACGGUUCUGGCGUGAGCUUACACCGCCGCCGCCGCCGCCACUGCUUCCGCCAGCAGUGUCGCUGCCGCUGCGGCGGCCGUUGCCGCGUCUAAAACGGCCGCGUUCUCGCGUCCUGUCGCCCCCGCUGUUAUUGCCGCCGCUGGUGCCUCCGCCGCCGCCAUCACGAUGGCGGUUGCCGCUGCCACUGCUGCCGGCGCCAGUACUGCGUGGCUGCUCAAACGCAUUGCUGCGGUAGAGGCCUACGGACACGUCCGCCAGCUUAACGGGACACUCACGGACAUAGUGCCCAGGCUGUCCACAGUAGCGGCAGGUGUCGUUGGCCCCCGCGGCGCCCGAGGCGCCGGCAGUACCGCGGACUCCACGGGCGGUGCGACCAGGGCCAACAGCUCCAACCAGGCCGGACUUGACUGCUUGGGCCUUCAGGUUGUUCUCCUUCUCCCGCAGCAUGAACACGAGCUGCAGGGUAGUCAAGUUGGGCAAAUACAUCGCAAACUCGACAGUAAUAGCGUACUGUGGAGGCAGACCGUGGAGAAUUGCAUGACGCAUAGCAGCCUCAUCCCACUGGCUGCCCGCCGAGAUAAUGUCGCUGCGGAGCUGCUCCGCCCGCUGAAUGAAGUCAGCGGUCGUCUCGUCGUCGCCCAUGCGCAGUUGCUUCUGCGGCUCCAGCAGGCUUAGCCGGGCCUGAGAGGCAGAACGGAACUGCAGCUGUAAGAGCUGCAUGGCGGCGAGGGUCGUCUGACAGUUCCUGAGCAACUGCUUGACUGGCAGUUCGCAGGAUAGACGCAGGUAGCCAAGCGCCUGGGCAUCUUCCUCCAGAGCGUCUUGCGCAUUGCGUCCCGGUGGCGACGGGUUGGUCAUAUAGAUCCGCAGCUUGGAUGUAGCAAGGAAAUCACUGAAGUCUCCUAGCCACUGUGAGUAGUUAGACCCGUCCGCUAAGAGGACGGUCUUACACCCUUUUCCCAUGUCGGUUGCCUAGCGAGCCUCCCUGCUCAAGCUAAAAGCAACUACAGAUAUUAACCGCCGGGAACCGUUACCCGGGGCUCAUAACCUGUUGGUGAGACGCUAUCUCACAGGGACCUAGCAGACACGACUAAGGAGACAUUAGCCGUUACACGUAUUCGGGAGAUCCGCGACCUACCACCGAAAGCCCCUUUGCCUAGGCGUAAACGUGUGAAUCUAAGGUACUGUUACCGAUAAACAACAGAGACUUAUAAAGGCUUGGAAAGCCUAUCCCAAAGGACGAGAGCUAUCAGUACGCUAGAACCUAACAGCCGUUUUGACGGGCCUCCCGAGACAGGUCCAAAGCUGUCACUCAGUCUAACAUGCGACCUCAGACAGGCCACAGCUGUCACUCACGACAGCCUGACAAGUUACCCAAACAGGCCACAGGGC
rnacentral:lncRNA from 1 species